AUUUAUAUGGCAGUUUGGUGGCCCUGAUGACAAUCGUAAUGGCUGGAACAGAACGAGUGUAACUGUAGCGCAACGCUAGAUCGCAUUAUUCAAGUGUCUCGCAUUACAGUUCGAAAUUCAGUAUAUACAACUCAACACGUGACAACUUAUGUGGAAAACUAUCUAUCACACAAUGAGCAACGACGGAAUCGACCCGUGCGAAUGCAUGUGGAAUCAUCUGACUGCGCAACAUUUACUUUCUAUUCUACGACAAUCGCAGGAUUAUUGUUCGGAUACCGAAUGUUUCGGCACGUCGAGAAGUACGUAUCAUUAAUAUUACUUUUAUUUAUAGUUAUUCUACUUUUCAUGAUGAUUUGUAAUUCUAUGUAAUACUUGCAUUUACUAACUAUAUAGAGUGUUCCUUAACUUCCCGGAAAAAAUAGAUUAACCUGAGAAAAUAAAACCAUAUGUUUGCAUAAGAUUACACGUAAGUGAUCAGAUUGCGCAUAUUUCGGAUCUUAUUUUAUAUGAUCAUACACGAUUUUCUAUGUUUAUAUAUAUUAUAUAUAUACAGGGUGUCCCAGAAU